GCCAGGCAUAGUGGUGUGCACCUGUAGUCCCAGCUACUCGGGAGGCUGAGGUGGGAGGAUCGCUUGAGUCCAGGAGUUCUGGGCUGCAGUGCGCUGUGCCGAUCGGGUGUCCGCACUAAGUUCGGCAUCAAUAUGGUGACCUCCCGGGAGCGGGGGACCACCAGGUUGCCUAAGGAGGGGUGAACCGGCCCAGGUCGGAAACGGAGCAGGUCAAAACUCCCGUGCUGAUCAGUAGUGGGAUCGAGCCUGUGAAUAGCCACUGCACUCCAGCCUGGGCAAUAUAGUGAGACCCUCAUCCCA
rnacentral:SRP_RNA from 1 species